rnacentral:lncRNA from 1 species
CUUACCUUUCUCCUUUGUGAAAUGGUUUAACAACCUUUUACAAAUGUUGACAGAUCCAAUGAGCUAAUUUGCAAAGCACCUCCUUUGUAUCAAACACUCAAUACACAUAAGUAAUAAGUAUGUUAUUUGAAUGAAGCCAUGCUGACCAUUCUGCAGAAUGGAACAGACUUAGAGAACACGGAUCGGCAGGUGCAGCCUCUGUCUCUUAUCUCUACACAUUCCCUGUGUUCACUACGAGGUAGAAGGACAGAUGGUCCAGAAACACAACCCAAGGGUCCCUGAUAAUUCUAUACAGAAGGAUGACCCUAGCCUGCCCCUCCUACAGUGAGGUUUCUAUUGUCAAUUUUCUCUGGGACCUCCAAGCAUCUGCUAUCAUUGUAGUUUAGUCCUAUGCAUCUGAUAACAGGUAACAGAAGCCUCUCAAUUGCAUAUGGUCAAUCCAGGACCCCCCAUAUGGCCACAGAACCCUCCACCCCAUCCCCCACCCUGCCUCUCAUCCCUGCCUGACUCUCAUCCCUGCCUGCUGAGCUGUGCUCACCCCACCCCAGCUCCAACCCCCCAAAGUGAGUCUGCUCCACUUGAAAAGUCCACAGCCACCCCAUAGAGACAGCAGCCGAGCCUGAGACCAAGUCUAAGAAGUCUGAGCGUGACAGCUGUGCCUGCCAUAAGACUUGGACACCUGUGGUGUCAGAAACGCCCCCUUCACGCCUCACGCAGGCUGAAGGCCCCGCCCCAAAGAUUCAGGGCAAGAGCAAAUUGCAGUGACAGGGCCGCUGCUCCAUGGCCUGAGGGCUGAAAGGAGUCGCAGUCACUGCUGCUUAUAGCGCUUAGGAGAGCACCCGUGUGGCAACCCUUUCCUCCAUCACGCCCGUCACCACACAUCACGCUGGGCGUUCCCCCAAGCCCCUCCCCUCACGCCCCUCACCACGCCCCCCACGCUCUGCGCUCCUUCACGCCCCUCCCUUCCUCGCAGCGUCCUCCACGCUCUGGUCAUGCGGCCUGUGGCCCCAUGCCAUGCUGCCGGGCUAAAGCGGGUUGAAUUAAUGGCGCCUGAGGCCAGCUCCUGAGCACUCCUGAGGCAGCUUGAAACCCAGCAAAAGCUCCCUGGCUGAUAAAAGUUCAGUGGCUAAAAUGGAAAUACUGGGACCCGGGUAGGUGGAAAUUGCGUUUUCAAAGCCACCUUUCCCUCCAUCCCCUCCAUCUGGUCGGGCUGCUGGAAUCCUCACAGUGGAGAACUUCCAGCUGAGGGAUCUACACUUUGGUCAUGCCUCAUAGAAGAACAGCCCCAGCCAUAGUAUUAAAAGGAGGAAACAUCACAGUGGACAGCUCUAAUUCCUGCACUAUAGACAGGAAACGCAGAAGCCCAACAGGCCAUCAGAGAAUUGCACACCUGGGCUGUCUUGAUCUGGUUCCUUGGAGAAUUGCUCUGUGGAUCUGAGCCUUGGCCCCGCUCCAUCGGCCCACACUGAGGAGUGCCGCAAACAACCCCGUGAGCCCCACUGCUUCAUUGCCUGGAGGAUGUGAUUGAGGAUGUGGUUUGCUGCUCUUUGUGUGGACCCAAGAAAGAAGUUUCUUUCAGACCUUGUACCAGGAAUAGUCGUGCUUCUCCUGAGCAACUGGCUUGUUUUGUUUUUGUGAACACUCUAAAUUGUGUAACUGUCUGUGUCUUUCAAAGCCAUCUAAAAUCCUUUGGGAACAAGACAGGGUAUAAAAUAAAGCUAUUCAGAGUUUAGACCAAGCUCCCUAUUUAACACAUUACAUUCCUUUUGGAAAAGUCGCUUCAUUUGGCUGACUUUCUUUGCUUGUAAGUUAGAGAUAAUGAGUUCUUCCUGUGAACAGAGUGUAAAUUAAUAUUUUUAAAGCACUCAGAGUUCCCUCAAUGCAAGUCAUUAUGGAAACCAACACUAAUAUUUAAUUUCUUUAAAUCUCUGCUAUUUUGUAAUUCCCUCUCUUUUUAUGUCAUUCCUGAACUUUGCUUGCUCAUUCAUCUACUUGGCACAUUUGAGGAUGUAACAGUGCACCAAACACCCUGGAAGGAUACAGAUUAAAAAGCCUGGAUUGUGCUUUCCAGUAGCAUGAAGAGUUGAGGGUGUGUUUUCCACUAAAUUGGAGAUUUAAAUAACAAGAAAACAAUAAAUGAAUAAGUACAUAAAUAUCUUAAUUAUAAAAUUCUGUGGUUGCAGUGAAGAAAAGAAAUAGGGAACAAUGGGAAAGGAUGACAGUUCUAGAGGUGGAGAUGGAAGGUGCCUGUAAGAAGGCAACUUUCAAGCAAAGCCCUGGAGAAUAAAAAGGAACAACUGUGCUAAGAGCUGAGGAAAUAAAUCUUAAGGCAUGAGAGGGUUUGGCAGGGUGAUGGAUCUGAAAACAGACAGUGGCAUGACAGUAAGCAAGGACAAAGGAGGAGUUUGGAGAGAAGGUCAGGGACCAGGCCAUUUAGGGCCUUAAAGACCAGAGCACGGGGCCUGUAUCUUCUCUUACCUUCCAUAGGAUGCCUCUUAAAGCACUUUAUGGGCCAGAGUGACGUGGUAUGAGUGAGGUUUUAAGGAGAUAAUGUUGUUUGUAUCUCUAGUGUGAGAUAAUCUCACGUAGUAAGGGAAAUGUUGAGGCGAGGUAAGCACUGAGGGUAGGAUAGGGGAACACAGAGGAGGCGUCCUCUAGGGGUUCUCAAUUUGGUUGUUGAGCAAGACUUCCUGAAGCGUAUGGUGGCUGAACUGAGAUGUGGAGAAAUGAGUAAGAUUUCACCAAGGGAAGGGAAGGAAGGGUGAACUAGACAGUGAACUACGUGACUGAAUGUACAGUGAUAUGUGACAGCACGGUAAGGAUGCUGUUGUAUUUAAGCAUCAAGUAAAACAGAGUAUGAGGGGAGAUGAAGCUGGAGAGGAGGCUAAAGAUUGGAUCGUGGAGAACCUUGAGUGUCUAAUACUUUCUUCCCCAUUCCAUGGCUGGCAGGUGGGAGGGAGCUGGGUCCCAUCUCCUAACAUUUUUGUGAGAAUUAUUUGCAAAAAUAAUUGCUGCAACCUCUUAAAUAAAAACUUACUUCCCCCCAUACUUUCUUUGAAAUAAGGCCCCUUGGAGUACAGGUGGCCAUGAGCAACUCUUCUGCAACCUGAGAUGGAGCAGUUGGGAGAAGGUUAGUCAUCUUCACCUUUGCCUGUACCUUGUCACCUCCUAUCACCACCUGCUCCUUUCCCUGGCUCUUGUCAUCUCCAGACCUCUGCAGGGGGAGUUGCUGGUGGGUGCCCAUCCCACUUCCUAAUGAAUGUAGAUGUGCUUAGUAAAAUGCUGACAGAUAUGACGUGUUAUGAUAAGUGCUAAUGGCACUAGAUUUAGAGUCAGGGGCUGGUCCUAGGCCUUCUGCUUAGUAGGUGAGUGACCUUGAGCAGUCACUUAAUUUCUUGGAGCUAUUGCCUCACAUAUAUGUAAAGGGGGAUGUAUCUACCUCCCUGAGUUGUUGUGAGGAUUAAAUGAAAAAUUGAAUAUAUGCAAAGCGCUUACACAGUCCCUGCUUAGUAAAUUAUAGGUGUUAUUUUUGUUCAUAGUAGGGAAAUAAUAAUCAAAAGGGAAAGCAGACUCAAAGUUCUUUUCUGAACACUAAUCAUGGAAGACUAGGAAAUGGAGAAACUACUGAAAAAAAAUAAGGUAAUUGACCUUGGCUAAAUCACUUAACUCGUUUCUUCAAACUGUGGGGGUUACAAUUUCCCUUUUGUGUAAUGUAUUGGAUAUUUAUAAGGAAUAGAUGUUAUUAUAGAUGCAAAAAUUUUUUGAAAACUGAGUAUUUUCUUGUUUUGCUUACAAUGUUAACCUGGAUCCUCCAAGAGAUGACAAGGAUUUUGGCGGGGAAAUAUUUCAGAGAGAAAUUGUGGUGGAAGUUAGAGAAGCUGGCAGGGCUGUCAGACUGUGAUGGAGGUCUGAAUUGAGGAAAGGAAAGUUUGGCAAGGGGGGACAACCUUGAACCAAAG